AUUGAACGCUGGCGGCAGGCUUAACACAUGCAAGUCGAGCGAGCGGCGGACGGGUGAGUAAUGUCUGGGAAACUGCCUGAUGGUGGGGGAUAACUACUGGAAACGGUAGCUAAUACCGCAUACCAUCAGAUGUGCCCAGAUGGGAUUAGCUAGUAGGUGGGGUAAUGGCUCACCUAGGCGACGAUCUCUAGCUGGUCUGAGAGGAUGACCGGCCACACUGGGACGGAGACACGGCCCAGACUCCUACGGGAGGCAGCAGUGGGGAAUAUUGCGCAAUGGGGGCAAUCCUGACGCAGCCAUGCCGCGUGAAUGAAGAAGGCCUUCGGGUUGUAAAGUUCUUUCGGCAGGGAGGCGUUACCUGCAGAAGAAGCACCGGCUAACUCCGUGCCAGCAGCCGCGGUAAUAC
rnacentral:rRNA from 1 species